CUGAUGGCUUAGACCCUUUCUUAUCCAUUUGUGUUGAUUUGGCACUCGAGCAUCAAUACAUUACCCAUCCCCCAACACUGUCAACCAGGAGUCAAGACUGCAUUACCCAUCCCCCAACACUGUCAACCAGGAGUCAAGACUACAUUACCCAUCCCCCAACACUGUCAACCAAGAGUCAAGACUACAUUACCCAUCCCCCAACACUGUCAACCAAGAGUCAAGACUACAUUACCCAUCCCCCAACACUGUCAACCAAGAGUCAAGACUACAUUACCCAUCCCCCAACACUGUCAACCAAGAGUCAAGACUGCAUUACCCAUCCCCCAACACUGUCAACCAAGAGUCAAGACUACAUUACCCAUCCCCCAACACUGUCAACCAAGAGUCAAGACUACAUUACCCAUCCCC
ensembl:lncRNA